AUGAACGCUGGCGGCGUGCCUAAUACAUGCAAGUCGAACGGAGAAUGUAGCAAUACGUUCUUAGUGGCGAACGGGUGAGUAACGCGUUGGUGACCUGCCCCGAAGAGGGGGAUAACGGUCCGAAAGGGCUGCUAAUACCCCAUGUGGUCCUCUGGAUUAGAUGCCAGAUGACUAAACGGAUUUAUUCGCUUCGAGAGGAGCCUGCGUCCCAUCAGCUGGUUGGUAGGGUAACGGCCUACCAAGGCUAUGACGGGUAGGGGACCUGAGAGGGUGGCCCCCCACAAUGGAACUGAAACACGGUCCAUACACCUACGGGUGGCAGCAGUAGGGAAUAUUAGAAAUGGACGAAAGUCUGAUCUAGCAACACCGCGUGUGCGAAGAAGGCCUUCGGGUCGUAAAGCACUUUUUGGAAGGAAUAGGAAGGAAUGUACUUCCAGAAUAAGUCUCGGCUAACUACGU
rnacentral:rRNA from 1 species